rnacentral:tRNA from 1 species
GGUUGGAUGGCUGAGGUUAUAGGCAAUAAAUUGUAAAUUUAUUAACGAAUUAGAUUCUUCAACCA